ACUUCAGGGUUCGGGUAUUGUAUGAUCAUUUCAUUGAACCUUUGCCACACAUCAUACAAAGGCUCAUCUCUAAGUUGACAAAAAAUUGUUAUUUCAUUCCUCAGUU
rfam:Capsicum annuum cultivar Zunla-1 chromosome 9, whole genome shotgun sequence